AGAGUUUGAUCCUGGCUCAGAGCGAACGCUGGCGGCAGGCCUAAUACAUGCAAGUCGAGCGCACCUUCGGGUGAGCGGCGGACGGGUGAGUAACGCGUGGGAAUAUGCCCUUUGGUACGGAACAACCCAGGGAAACUUGGGCUAAUACCGUAUGUGCCCUUCGGGGGAAAGAUUUAUCGCCAUUGGAGUAGCCCGCGUUGGAUUAGCUAGUUGGUAGGGUAAAGGCCUACCAAGGCUACGAUCCAUAGCUGGUCUGAGAGGAUGAUCAGCCACACUGGGACUGAGACACGGCCCAGACUCCUACGGGAGGCAGCAGUAGGGAAUCUUGCGCAAUGGGCGAAAGCCUGACGCAGCCAUGCCGCGUGAAUGAUGAAGGUCUUAGGAUUGUAAAAUUCUUUCACCGGGGAAGAUAAUGACGGUACCCGGAGAAGAAGCCCCGGCUAACUUCGUGCCAGCAGCCGCGGUAAUACGAAGGGGGCUAGCGUUGCUCGGAAUUACUGGGCGUAAAGGGCGCGUAGGCGGAUAGUUUAGUCAGAGGUGAAAGCCCAGGGCUCAACCUUGGAAUUGCCUUUGAUACUGGCUGUCUUGAGUUCGGGAGAGGUGAGUGGAAUGCCGAGUGUAGAGGUGAAAUUCGUAGAUAUUCGGCGGAACACCAGUGGCGAAGGCGACUCACUGGCCCGAUACUGACGCUGAGGCGCGAAAGCGUGGGGAGCAAACAGGAUUAGAUACCCUAGUAGUCC
rnacentral:rRNA from 1 species